rnacentral:tRNA from 1 species
ACUCUAAAAGUAAAAUUUACUUUUAAUUUCGACUUAAAAAUUUGAUUAUUUAUCUAAUCUUAGAGUA